rnacentral:rRNA from 1 species
GAUGAACGCUGGCGGCGUGCCUAAUACAUGCAAGUCUAGCGAACGGACGAGAAGCUUGCUUCUCUGAUGUUAGCGGCGGACGGGUGAGUAACACGUGGAUAACCUACCUAUAAGACUGGGAUAACUUCGGGAAACCGGAGCUAAUACCGGAUAAUAUUUUGAACCGCAUGGUUCAAAAGUGAAAGACGGUCUUGCUGUCACUUAUAGAUGGAUCCGCGCUGCAUUAGCUAGUUGGUAAGGUAACGGCUUACCAAGGCAACGAUGCAUAGCCGACCUGAGAGGGUGAUCGGCCACACUGGAACUGAGACACGGUCCAGACUCCUACGGGAGGCAGCAGUAGGGAAUCUUCCGCAAUGGGCGAAAGCCUGACGGAGCAACGCCGCGUGAGUGAUGAAGGUCUUCGGAUCGUAAAACUCUGUUAUUAGGGAAGAACAUAUGUGUAAGUAACUGUGCACAUCUUGACGGUACCUAAUCAGAAAGCCACGGCUAACUACGUU